AUGCACGAGCCUGGGAAGACCAGAAGCUCUUCUUGGUGUUCUGUUUACCCAAUUAUGAGAGUUCUGAUGAUAAACUUAAAUACAAGAUACAGAAAUCUUCAUAUGUAAUCUGUUAGAGAAAAAAUAAUCCAUACCUUGACAUGCUUUUAAGACUCAUAAAGAGACUAUUGAUGGCUCAGCAGUUAAAGUAUUCACUGUAGAUGAGCACAAAGACUGAACAGAGCUGUUCAUGGUCAUUACUGAAGGCUUCUGUGCUCAGUUAACUUCGGAUCGUCUCCCCUCAAACCUGAGCCAAUGGAUCGCUCCUCCCUUACCAGGCUUCUUGUCAGCACUGCCUUUCCUGAUGCGGCCCAAACAUCCCAAACAUCCCUGCAGCACCGCUCCUGUUACAGCCUCUUCUCAGAUAAGAGAAGAGUGAAUGAUGAAGCGCACUCGUCAGUGAGUCGUCAGUGUCCUUGAGGACAGGCCAAUGAGUGAGGAGCAUUCUGUCACCCAGGCCAACUGUGCAAGCGAUGUCAUCCAGGCCAACUGUGCAAGCGAUGUCUCCCAGGCUAACCAGCAAGUGAUGUCACCCAGACCAACUGUGCAAGAGAUGUCUCCCAGGCCAACUGUGCAAGCGAUGUCAUCCAGGCCAACUGUGCAAGCAAUGUCUCCCAGGCUAACCAGCAAGUGAUGUCACCCAGACCAACUGUGCAAGAGAUGUCUCCCAGGCCAACUGUGCAAGUGAUGUCACCC
rnacentral:lncRNA from 1 species